rnacentral:rRNA from 1 species
UACGUAGGGGGCAAGCGUUGUCCGGAAUCAUUGGGCGUAAAGAGCGUGUAGGCGGCCCGGUAAGUCCGCUGUGAAAGUCCAGGGCUCAACCCUGGGAUGCCGGUGGAUACUGUCGGGCUCGAGUCCGGAAGAGGAGUGUGGAAUUCCUGGUGUAGCGGUGAAAUGCGCAGAUAUCAGGAGGAACACCGAUGGCGAAGGCAGCACUCUGGGACGUGACUGACGCUGAGACGCGAAAGCGUGGGGAGCAAACAGG